rnacentral:rRNA from 1 species
AUGGGCGCAAGCCUGAUCCAGCAAUACCGCGUGUGUGAAGAAGGCCUUAGGGUUGUAAAGCACUUUCAAUUGGGAGGAAAACCUGCCGGUCAAUACCCGGUAGCUUGACAUUACCUUUAGAAGAAGCACCGGCUAACUCCGUGCCAGCAGCCGCGGUAAUACGGAGGGUGCGAGCGUUAAUCGGAAUUACUGGGCGUAAAGCGUGCGUAGGCGGUUGUUUAAGUCAGAUGUGAAAGCCCCGGGCUUAACCUGGGAACUGCAUUUGAUACUGGCGGACUAGAGUUGAGUAGAGGGGAGUGGAAUUUCAGGUGUAGCGGUGAAAUGCGUAGAUAUCUGAAGGAACACCAGUGGCGAAGGCGACUCCCUGGACUCAAACUGACGCUGAGGUACGAAAGCGUGGGUAGCAAACAGGAUUAGAUACCCUGGUAGUCCACGCCGUAAACGAUGUCAACUAGCCGUUGGUCCUAUUUACAGGAUUAGUGGCGCAGCUAACGCAUUAAGUUGACCGCCUGGGGAGCACGGCCGCAAGGUUAAA